AACGAACGCUGGCGGCAGGCCUAACACAUGCAAGUCGAACGCCGUAGCAAUACGGAGUGGCAGACGGGUGAGUAACACGUGGGAACGUACCCUUCGGUUCGGGAUAACUCAGGGAAACUUGAGCUAAUACCGGAUACGUCCGAGAGGAGAAAGAUUUAUCGCCGAGGGAUCGGCCCGCGUCUGAUUAGCUUGUUGGUGAGGUAACGGCUCACCAAGGCGACGAUCAGUAGCUGGUCNGAGAGGAUGAUCAGCCACAUUGGGACUGAGACACGGCCCAAACUCCUACGGGAGGCAGCAGUGGGGAAUAUUGGACAAUGGGCGCAAGCCUGAUCCAGCCAUGCCGCGUGAGUGAUGAAGGCCCUAGGGUUGUAAAGCUCUUUUACCCGGGAAGAUAAUGACUGUACCGGGAGAAUAAGCCCCGGCUAACUUCGUGCCAGCCGCCGCCGUAAC
rnacentral:rRNA from 1 species